rnacentral:rRNA from 1 species
UGGGGAAUUUUGGACAAUGGGCGAAAGCCUGAUCCAGCAAUGCCGCGUGUGUGAAGAAGGCCUUCGGGUUGUAAAGCACUUUUGUCCGGAAAGAAAUCCUUGGCUCUAAUACAGUCGGGGGAUGACGGUACCGGAAGAAUAAGCACCGGCUAACUACGUGCCAGCAGCCGCGGUAAUACGUAGGGUGCAAGCGUUAAUCGGAAUUACUGGGCGUAAAGCGUGCGCAGGCGGUUUUGUAAGACGGAUGUGAAAUCCCCGGGCUUAACCUGGGAACUGCAUUCGUGACUGCAAGGCUAGAGUAUGGCAGAGGGGGGUAGAAUUCCACGUGUAGCAGUGAAAUGCGUAGAGAUGUGGAGGAAUACCGAUGGCGAAGGCAGCCCCCUGGGCCAAUACUGACGCUCAUGCACGAAAGCGUGGGGAGCAAACAGGAUUAGAUACCCUGGUAGUCCACGCCCUAAACGAUGUCAACUAGUUGUUGGGGAUUCAUUUCCUUAGUAACGUAGCUAACGCGUGAAGUUGACCGCCUGGGGAGUACGGUCGCAAGAUUAAAACUCAAAUGAAUUGACGGGGUCAUAGCUGUUUCCU